rnacentral:rRNA from 1 species
UACGGGGGGGGCAAGCGUUGUUCGGAAUUACUGGGCGUAAAGGGCUCGUAGGCGGCCAACUAAGUCAGACGUGAAAUCCCUCGGCUUAACCGGGGAACUGCGUCUGAUACUGGAUGGCUUGAGUUUGGGAGAGGGACGCGGAAUUCCAGGUGUAGCGGUGAAAUGCGUAGAUAUCUGGAGGAACACCGGUGGCGAAGGCGGCGUCCUGGACCAACACUGACACUGAGGAGCGAAAGCCAGGGGAGCAAAACGGG